rnacentral:rRNA from 1 species
GAUGAACGCUAGCGGCAGGCUUAACACAUGCAAGUCGAGGGGUAUAGUUCUUCGGAACUAGAGACCGGCGCACGGGUGCGUAACGCGUAUGCAAUCUACCUUUUGCAGAGGGAUAGCCCAGAGAAAUUUGGAUUAAUACCUCAUAGUAUGUGAGAAUGGCAUCAUUUUCACAUUAAAGUCACAACGGCAAAAGAUGAGCAUGCGUCCCAUUAGCUAGUUGGUAAGGUAACGGCUUACCAAGGCAACGAUGGGUAGGGGUCCUGAGAGGGUGAGCCCCCACGCUGGUACUGAGACACGGACCAGACUCCUACGGGAGGCAGCAGUGAGGAAUAUUGGACAAUGGGCGCAAGCCUGAUCCAGCCAUGCCGCGUGCAGGAUGACGGUCCUAUGGAUUGUAAACUGCUUUUGUACAGGAAGAAACACUGGUUCGUGAACCAGCUUGACGGUACUGUAAGAAUAAGGAUCGGCUAACUCCGUGCCAGCCGCCGCAGUAAAAC